rnacentral:rRNA from 1 species
UACAGAGGUCUCAAGCGUUGUUCGGAUUCAUUGGGCGUAAAGGGUGCGUAGGCGGCGCGGUAAGUCGGGUGUGAAAUCUCGGGGCUUAACUCCGAAACUGCAUUCGAUACUGCCGUGCUUGAGGACUGGAGAGGAGACUGGAAUUCACGGUGUAGCAGUGAAAUGCGUAGAUAUCGUGAGGAAUACCAGAGGCGAAGGCGGCUACCUGGACAAUUGCUGACGCUCAGGCACGAAAGCGUGGGGGAGCAAAAGGG